rnacentral:rRNA from 1 species
GACGAACGCUGGCGGCGUGCUUAACACAUGCAAGUCGAACGGAAAGGCCCUGCUUUUGUGGGGUGCUCGAGUGGCGAACGGGUGGGUAACACGUGAGUAACCUGCCCUUGACUUUGGGAUAACUUCAGGAAACUGGGGCUAAUACCGGAUAGGAGCUCCUGCUGCAUGGUGGGGGUUGGAAAGUUUCGGCGGUUGGGGAUGGACUCGCGGCUUAGCAGCUUGUUGGUGGGGUUGUGGCUUACCAAGGCUUUGAAGGGUAGCCGGCCUGUGAGGGUGACAGGCCACCGUGGGACCGAGGUGCGGCCCAGGCGGCUAAGGGAGGCAACAGGGGGGAAGAUUGCACAAGGGGGGGAAGCCUUAUGCAGCAACGCCGCGUGCGGGAAGGCGGCCUUUGGGGUGGAAAACGGUUUCGCCUGUGACCAAGCGUGAGUGGCGGUAAUGUGUAAAGAAGCACCGGCUAACUACGUG